GUCCAAGGAUGGGAAUUGAACACGCAGUGUUCCGUUUACCGGGCAGAUUCCAUGUCCACUAGGUUACCCUGGA
rnacentral:tRNA from 1 species